AGGUCGGCCUCGUGGUGCGUCGUCGGCGAGCGCCGCCGCCACCAGGUAGUCCCUGUCGUGCGUCGCUGGCGAGCGACGACGCUACUAGGUCGACGCCGCCGCGACAUCGAGAGAUGCCAGAACCAUUCUCGCCGCCAGAUGUUGUCAUGCCUUCAGAGAAUCAGAAGUGAGGACGAAGGAUAUGAGUUCUAUAACGAGUAUGCAAAGGUCAAAGGGCUCAGUAUUCGCAAGGAGGACGUGAAAUAUUUGCCAGGCACAUGAACUCGGUUCAGGCGGCUUUACGCGGCCUUUAAAGAAGGAUACCGUACAUUGGCAAACAUCGAAAGACCUGAACCAAAAAGAACUCCAAAGGCUCUUACUCGUUGUGGAUGCCCAGCUUGUUUAGAGAUCGAGCUGAGUGUGGCUACCGUGGAAUGGUUCGUGAAGGAUUUUGAGGACAGGCAUAACCAUCCACUCGCUAUGGAAGACCAGUCUGCUUACCUAUUCUCUCACCGCCGGAUGACAGACAGCCAAUGUAGUUGGGUAUGGGAUUAUUGGCCAAAAUGCUGAUGCCAAAGCUUCGCAGUCGGUACCUUUCGCUAAAAUAUCCGAUCACCCACUGUUGCAAAGUGUUGCCCAUAUUUAUACUCCAGUAAUGUUCAAGAUCGUAAGGAGAAGAUCAUGAAAUCUGAUGGAUGGGAGAUUGGUGAGGUGACCCAGGAAGAUGGUAAAGGAGCAGAUCAUGAAAUCUGAUAGAAUAGCUAUGUUGGAAUAAUGCUGAUGGUGUUCUAGUUAAACUGAAUUUAAUUGGAAGAGUGAUUUCAUGAUGCUUGUUAACUUGUUAUCAGAAACUCAUGUGAAAUAGUUUGAAAUAAAAUAUAUUUAUGUGA